CUGCGAUAGUGAGUGCAAAGCUUGUGUGGGUUGCGUGGAGUGUGUAACGUGUGUGAAUGGCGUGUAAGGCAUCGAGACGUGUGUGUGAGAGGCGCGCGAGUGGGUCCCUGCGCUGCGACACUUACUUUCUGAUACACUUUGAUCUUAUUUGAUCGGGCCGCGGUGUCGCCGCCAUCCCGGCCUGAGAUGAGAAGAUCUCCGUCCUGUGAAGCCCUUGGGGGCGCUGUACGGUGAAGCAGGUUUACCGAGCAGGCGGCAGUUUAGUCGGAGAUGAUGAGUUGAUCAGAUAGAUGAGGCUGGAGGCUGGGAUUUCCCCUCCUCCUGGCCAGUGUGUAUCGAGGCGAUUCUGAUCCGG
ensembl:scaRNA small Cajal body-specific RNA 2